CCAUGCCGCGUGUAUGAAGAAGGCCUUCGGGUUGUAAAGUACUUUCAGCGGGGAGGAAGGCAGUGAGGUUAAUAACCUUACUGAUUGACGUUACCCGCAGAAGAAGCACCGGCUAACUCCGUGCCAGCAGCCGCGGUAAUACGGAGGGUGCAAGCGUUAAUCGGAAUUACUGGGCGUAAAGCGCACGCAGGCGGUCUGUUAAGUCAGAUGUGAAAUCCCCGGGCUUAACCUGGGAACUGCAUUUGAAACUGGCAGGCUUGAGUCUCGUAGAGGGGGGUAGAAUUCCAGGUGUAGCGGUGAA
rnacentral:rRNA from 1 species